UACGUAGGGGGCUAGCGUUGUCCGGAAUCAUUGGGCGUAAAGAGCGUGUAGGCGGCCCGGUAAGUCCGCUGUGAAAGUCCAGGGCUCAACCCUGGGAUGCCGGUGGAUACUGUCGGGCUCGAGUCCGGAAGAGGCGAGUGGAAUUCCUGGUGUAGCGGUGGAAUGCGCAGAUAUCAGGAGGAACACCAAUGGCGAAGGCAGCUCGCUGGGACGGUACUGACGCUGAGGCGCGAAAGCGUGGGGAGCAAACAGG
rnacentral:rRNA from 1 species